rnacentral:rRNA from 1 species
GCUUCACGUCACCCAAUCACGUGCCGAGCAGAUUGGGCGGCCUCGCCCGCAGCCCCCUGUUUUUGGGAUCGUGACUUCUUUCUCUAGGCCCCAGAUCGAGAAACUUGAGGGCUCCUUCCUUCCCCUCCUCCCGUGCGCUUCCCACUGAUCCGCCCCAAGUCGACCCCGUCUCCGGUCGAUGCCGGCGCUCCUGCAAGCCGUCGCCGACCUCCUAUGCCGAACGCCAUGGCCAUGGACCGAAGCUCCGUUGGUCCCUCCCUCACGACUGCCAGUCUUCCUCCCGACCAGAUCGACGACGGCGAUGACCGGAUCUGCCCCACUGCCGUCCGUUUCCAAGGGACGUCAACGGAUGGGGUUUCUUCAUCUCAGCCUCCACCACCCGCGGGCUCACCGGUGAUGGACCUGCUCAGCAUGUAGGAUUGCGUGCUUCCUGGCGAGGUGGUCGUGUCUUGCCCGACGCGCCCUCGGCUGUCGAGUCUUUUUCCUCGGCGCGCCGUCCUCCAGUACCUCUGUCGUCAUUUGUACCACCGUGCGCCACUGCCCGUUCGCGUGAACCAUCCAGCCAUCCUCCCUGGGGCUCCAAUCUGUGAGUAUGUUGGUGUGUUGCCGAGGACUGGAGAGAAAAGGUCAGGGUCUGAUAUGCAUAUGCCAUCACUUCAUGUUGAGAACAAUUCCGAGGCACCACCGGCACCCGAGUACUGCAUCGAUGCUGGCUCCGUUGGAAGUUUCGCAAGGUUCAUAAACCACGGCUGCAACCCUAACCUCUUCGCCCAGUGUGUCCUAACCAAUCACCACGACAUCAAGCUAGAAAAGGUAGCACCUAACAUCGACAACUGCGAUGUCAUGAACUCCCUCGCAAUUGCCGAAUAUGUCGCUGAAAUUACAACUUCUACAGACAGACCAAGGAGUUGAGUUGUGAGGCCCCCACCGACAUGACACACCAAACUGAUAUCAAUGAGAAAAGGCGUAGUAUUCCCAUUGACUGGUUGACUGAGGUGCAGUACAAGCUUGAGCUACUAGGUGAAACACUAUUCCUUGUUGUCAACAUCAUUAAUAGAUCAAUGCAUAGAAAAACAUGUCUCGAUUUUUCUCUUGAAUGGAACCUGCAAGUUUCUCAACUGUUUAGUGAAGCUUACCUUGAAAAGAACUAUAAAUACUACAGGAAGUAGAGUAAGACAAUGACAGUUAAUUGGAAUAUUGAUUUUGAGAGGAUAUUUAUGGGUUUAGAUCUCUGUAAUUACAUAUUACUUUCCUUGCUGAUGCUAUUGCUCAUGACUAAAAAGCACGGACACGGCAGGAAUUGCCGAUUGGCUGUUUUUGGAAAAUGUUGUAUCCCGUAUCCCCGUAUGCGUAUCCCCAACUUUCCGUCCCUGUGUCCGUGCUUUUUAGCCUCAUGUUAUAAAACUGCCC